CCUACCUAAAAAAAAAACGGGAGCUGGCACGCAUUUUUUUCUGUCAAAAAUUAAACUUCCCCGUUCCCCCUCUUUUUUUUCACCAGCUUUUCUUUAGUAGACCUCUCUCUCACACUCUCUUGCUGCAAGAAUCUGUACCUCGUCGAAUGAACCAAACAAAAUUGGAGGUCAGAUUCUUUAGCUCCGGGUAAAUCAAAUUCACUCCCUGCGAAUGGGUAAUUCUCUCUACUUCUCGAUCUUUCUAUCACUUUUCGUUCUGGGCAGGGCAGGUCUAUAUGCUUUCAGUUUUGGGUGACAGUUGUUGGCACUGGUUCAUAAUUCUUCGUUGGCUUGCUUUCACUAGUAUUUUACAUUAAUGAAGUUUGCCGCUGCCUCUACAUCCUUUUACUAAAUCUGUUUUCUAAUUCAAAUGCCCUAUUCAACUCAAACCCUUGUUUUCUCCCAUAGACCCUCUUUCUCUUUCUCUUUCUCUUUGAUCUCGAUGUCACCCACCAGAUUGAGUUUUGAAGUUGGCGGCCACUGGGUUGACCCGGAUUUAGGGAUUAUUUUGUUUUGGGUAUCUCAAUUCAGUCUCCUCUCUUAUCGAACCCGAUUCAACAGUCGAGCUGGUGUCCGCCUCGUUGGACAGCGUGCGAAGCACUUAAUUGAAGCAGCAGUAGCAACAUAUUCCCCUCCACCUCUGUCGCUCAAUCUGAUGAAUAUGAUUGCAGGUUCUCAAAAUAUGGUGGGGAGGUGGUAAAGAUUGACAUUCAAGAUUGUGGCUUCAUAUCAUGGUUCUUUUGAUGGGUAUAUAGCGAAAGCAAUAGGAUCUUUACACUGUCCAAAGGUGCUAUCUUUGUGUUGUUGAGCAAUCUCUUGGAAAAUUUGUUGAUGAGAAGAAAGCCCAGAUGCUGAAAGACAAAGGAUUACCUUUGGAAAGGGCUGCUACUGUACGGGAGAUAUGGACGCCUUCUAAGACUGGAGGUAUUCGGAGCUUGUUGAUCUAAGACUGGAGGGACGGGUGACAAGUGAUGAAGAGGUGGGAGAAAAUUAAUUUUGCGUGUCGCGUUGUGUUGUGUUCAAGAGGAAACAGAGCUUAGCUUGGCCAAAUAUGAAUACUAUUGUUGGCAUGCUGGAAGGUGGCAUCCCUUUAGGCCAGCCAAAUUUUGAUUCGUUGAAUUUCUUGCGCUUUAUUGGACGUUGAUUCACUGAGGCGUCUAUGAUUGAAGAGGGAACUCUGGGAAAUGAUAGAGUGCUGUAUCGAUCAAGAGUCAAAUUCUUUUCCUUCACGUCUCUUCACGGGAGGUUUCAGGCCCAAGAUAGUAUCAAGUAGUUGAGUAGCUUGUGUAUAGUUAAUUGUGGAUGGGAAGUAAAUGAAUUUGAUUUUGGAUUUUUUUACACUAUUGGAAUCUAUUGUAUAAUUCUUAUAUCUUUCCACAAGGCUGAAGGUAUCCGGGAAUGGUUGUAAUUUGAAAGAGUUUCUUGAGCAAGUAAAUAAUACAUGAUUGUGUGGAAAUUAGAUGUAGCCUUUGCAUUACUUGCCUUAUA